UAAAAACCAUGGAGUCGCGUAUUCCCCACAUUCUCCUGAGACACCAUCAUGCAUCACCACCAACCUCACCACUAAUCCUCUCCACACAUAACUCCUACACUUACGACUAAAGUCUCACUUUUCUCCUUCUUGUAUGUACUUUCGAGAUGUAGUGCCUGCAAACCACCACAAACGACCACCAGAGAAAUGCAGAGGAAUCGGUGCUGAGCUGAUGCCUGGCUGGACAGCCAAUCCCGUCCCAGUAAAUUGCAGAAGAAGCCGGCAUCAGUCUCACACGUGAAAACUUUUCACUCGUCCGUUUGACCCUUUCGACACAACAAGUCUACUGCACUUCUUGCCACUAUUUGUUCUCUACCACCGGACAUUUCUACUCGUUCUUUACGAAUAACUUGGAAAAGUGCUCUUGAAGAAAGAUGCCAAAGGAACCAAAAAAUUGGUUAACUAUGAGUAAAGCAGAACAGCGGGCUUUUAUUCGUUGUCUGAAAAAUAAAGAGCGCAGAAUGAAGAAGAAGGUGGGCGCAUUGAUCAAAGUCAUGAAACUACUAGAGAAACUAAAGAAGAUUUAAGAAAACAAGUCGUAUAAUUAAAAAUGCACAUUAUAUAAUAUAAACUCCUCCACUUCUCAGUCCUUAAAUCAAUUGAAUUAUACUUGAGAAAAUCGCUGCAAAGAAAAAGAAAGAAUCUAAGAAGAAGUAAAUUUCUACUUGAAAAUUCGUAUUUACAAUUUUUUUGUUAAUUUUUUAAAUUUGAAAUUUGAAGCGAUCUUUUAUAAUAUUACGCUGAAAGCAAAUUAAAAAUCAGUCCUUAAAUCAAUUGAAUUAUACUUGUCUCCUUUAUUUAUUCACCUCUUUUGUGAUUAAUCAUCAUCAUUAACAUAAAAAAUGACUAAAAUGUAGUUUCGAUGUCAAGUAGUGGAUUAGUUGCGAGUCGGCUAUUUAUAUUUAAGUAUCUAAACUUAACUUAUGCAUGUGGCAUGAUAUUGACAUCCAUUCAUUCAUUCUUGUAACAACAACAAAUACCAAUAACUUAGAAGUUAAGAUUA